rnacentral:rRNA from 1 species
UACGUAGGGACCGAGCGUUGUCCGGAAUCAUUGGGCGUAAAGAGCGUGUAGGCGGCUAUUUAAGUCCUGCGUGAAAUCCUGCGGCUCAACCGCAGACGGUCGUGGGAAACUGGAUGGCUAGAGUGCGGGAGAGGAGAGUGGAAUUCCUGGUGUAGCGGUGAAAUGCGCAGAUAUCAGGAAGAACACCCGUGGCGAAGGCGGCUCUCUGGAACGCAACUGACGCUGAGACGCGAAAGCGUGGGGAGCAAACAGG